rnacentral:rRNA from 1 species
CCUACGGGGGGCUGCAGUGAGGAAUAUUGGUCAAUGGGCGCAAGCCUGAACCAGCCAUCCCGCGUGCAGGAAGACGGCGCUAUGCGUUGUAAACUGCUUUUCCAGGGGAAGAAAACCUGAUACGUGUAUCGGCUUGCCGGUACCCUGGGAAUAAGCAUCGGCUAACUCCGUGCCAGCAGCCGCGGUAAUACGGAGGAUGCGGGCUUUAUCGGGAUUUAAGGGGUUUAAGGGGUACGAAGAAGUAAGCGGUGAAAACCUUCAGCUUAACUGGAGACUUGCCAUUGAUACUGUUAGUCUUGAGUACGGUCAAGGUAGGCGGAAUGUGUAAUGUAGCGGUGAAAUGCUUAGAUAUUACACAGAACACCGAUUGCGAAGGCAGCUUACUGGGCCAUUACUGACGCUGAUGCACGAAAGCGUGGGGAGCGAACAGGAUUAGAUACCCUAGUAGUC